GUCGUACGCUUCUUUUUCCACCGGAGCUUGCUCCACCGGAAAAAGAAGAGUGGCGAACGGGUGAGUAACACGUGGGUAACCUGCCCAUCAGAAGGGGAUAACACUUGGAAACAGGUGCUAAUACCGUAUAACAAUCGAAAYCGCAUGGUUUUGAUUUGAAAGGCGCUUUCGGGUGUCGCUGAUGGAUGGACCCGCGGUGCAUUAGCUAGUUGGUGAGGUAACGGCUCACCAAGGCCACGAUGCAUAGCCGACCUGAGAGGGUGAUCGGCCACAUUGGGACUGAGACACGGCCCAAACUCCUACGGGAGGCAGCAGUAGGGAAUCUUCGGCAAUGGACGAAAGUCUGACCGAGCAACGCCGCGUGAGUGAAGAAGGUUUUCGGAUCGUAAAACUCUGUUGUUAGAGAAGAACAAGGAUGAGAGUAACUGUUCAUCCCUUGACGGUAUCUAACCAGAAAGCCACGGCUAACUACGUGCCAGCAGCCGCGGUAAUACGUA
rnacentral:rRNA from 1 species